rnacentral:rRNA from 1 species
AUGAGACACCAUAAGGAUGCCAUGGCCAGGACAAGCCGCAAUACUUUCAUCUUCCGUGUCGCCUACGGUAGUAUCGGUCAAAUUUGGGCAUCCCAUCACUCCUACUGCUAACUUUCCAUCCACCACAAGAGCCAAACCCACCUAAGGACCAAGCCAAAAAGCUUCAUAUUGGAAGAAAGAGAAUAA